rnacentral:rRNA from 1 species
ACACAGGUGCUGCAUGGCUGUCGUCAGCUCGUGUCGUGAGAUGUUGGGUUAAGUCCCGUAACGAGCGCAACCCUUGUCCUUAGUUACCAGCACGUUAUGGUGGGCACUCUAAGGAGACUGCCGGUGACAAACCGGAGGAAGGUGGGAUGACGUCAAGUCAUCAUGGCCCUUACGGCCAGGGCUACACACGUGCUACAAUGGGUGGUACAAAGAGAGGCAAGCUCGCGAGAGUAAGCAAAUCUCAAAAAGCCAUCCUCAGUUCGGAUUGGAGUCUGCAACUCGACCUCAUGAAGUCGGAAUCGCUAGUAAUCGCGGAUCAGCAUGCCGCGGUCGAAUACGUUCCCGGGCCUU